GGUAUUAGCAUUUUAGUUAGUAUUUUCAUAUCAUAGUGGAUAAACGUGGGCAUUGUGUAAUUUUUGUUGUGCUAUCUCACACAGGAUGAAUUCCAAGAGCAUUACAGACAAACAGGGCGUUUUCCAGGUGCCAUUACAAGCCCUCCACAUCGACCUUGGGCCCUGCUGAACUGGCUCUUCUGGGUUUGCUUGCUGGUCUAUCCUCUCUGCAUGUUACUGCUGCAGUUGCUGCUAUCAGGAUCCACCUUCACUGUCGUCUGUACAUCAGUCUUCUGUCUAGCAGUGUCAGUUGGUAUGCGCUGGAUGAUCGGACAGACUGAGAUUGACAAGGGUUCCAACUACGGAAGAGAUGCAAA